AGUUAAUAUUGCCACACACGU
rnacentral:piRNA from 1 species